GAAAGUAAUAAAGGGCGUAUGGGGGAUGCCUAGGCUCUUGGAGGCGACGAAAGACGUGGUAAGCUGCGAUAAGCCUCGGGGAUUUGCAAACGAGAAUUGAUCCGAGGAUUUCUGAAUGGGACAACCCGGCAGGCAGAAGGCCUGUCACACGAAAGUGGGCCAACCCUCUGAACUGAAACAUCUUAGUAGGAGGAGGAAAAGAAAGAAACAUCGAUUUCCUAAGUAGCGGCGAGCGAACGGGAAACAGCCUAAACCACAAUUGUUACGGCAACUGUGGGGUUGUAGGACUGCAAUAUUCAAAUGACUGUGAACUGGAAUGUUCUGGAAAGUUCAUCCAUAGAGAGUGAAAGACUCGUACAGGCAAGCACGUCAGGCGAUAGCAGUAUCCUGAGUAGGGCGGGACACGAGGAAUCCUGUCUGAAUCCGCCGGGACCACCCGGUAAGGCUAAAUACUCCCAAGAGACCGAUAGUGAACCAGUACCGUGAGGGAAAGGUGAAAAGAACCCCGAACAGGGGAGUGAAAUAGAACCUGAAACCAUACGCUUACAACCUGUCGGAGCGGCUUCGUGCCGUGACGGCGUGCCUAUUGAAUAAUGAGCCUACGAGUUACUAAUCACUGGCAAGGUUAAGUGCACGGAUGCACGGAGCCGAAGCGAAAGCGAGUCUGAAUAGGGCGUUUAGUCAGUGGUUGUAGACGCGAAACCUUGCGAUCUACCCUUGAGCAGGUUGAAGGUUGGGUAAAACCAACUGGAGGACCGAACGAAUAAGCGUUGAAAAGCUUCUCGAUGACUUGAGGGUAGGGGUGAAAGGCUAAUCAAGCUGGGAAAUAGCUCGUACUCCCCGAAAUGCCUUUAGGGGCAGCGUUGUAAUUAAGAGUCUACUGGAGGUAGAGCUACUGAUUGGAUGCGGGGGCUUCACCGCCUACCAAAUCCUGACAAACUCCGAAUGCCAGUAGUAUGAUUUACAGCAGUGAGCGACCGGGUGCUAAUGUCCGGUUACGAGAGUGGAACAACACAGACCAGCAACUAAGGUCCCCAAGAGUAUACUAAGUUGAUCUAACGAUGUUUUGUUGCAGAGACAGCUAGGAUGUUAGCUUGGAAGCAGCUAUUCAUUCAAAGAGUGCGUAACAGCUCACUAGUCGAGCGGCAAAGCGUGGAUAAUAAACGGGCAUCAAGUAUACCACCGAAGUUCUGGGCACGAAAGUGCGGUAGGGGAGCAUUCCAUUCCGCGUUGAAGCCGAACCGUGAGGUUUGGUGGAGUGUAUGGAAAAGCAAAUGUAGGCAUGAGUAACGAUAAUGCGGGAGAGUAACCCGCACACCGCAAGACCAAGGUUUCCUGAUCAACGCUAAUCGGAUCAGGGUUAGUCGGGUCCUAAGGGUAAGCCGAACGGUGAUCUCGAUGGAUAAUCGGUUAAUAUUCCGAUACUGACAUAUACCUCGAUGGAGAGACGAAGGAACGUAAGUGCCGCCACCUGACGGAAUAGGUGGUUAAAGGGCUUAGGUAUAGGGGCAGAUUAAGAGUUAGUCCUUGCUGAAACCUGACAGUACAGAGAGCCUACGGGCAAUUUGAUAGUGCACCCAAGUCGACUUCCGAGAAAAUCUUCUAAGUUAUAGUAUAUGUCACCCGUACCGUAAACCGACACAGGUGGUCGAGGAGAGUAUCCUAAGGUGCUCGAGUGAAUCACGGUUAAGGAACUAGGCAAAUUAACCCCGUAACUUCGGGAAAAGGGGUCCCAUCGCGAGGUGGGCGCAGCGAAGAGGUCCAGGCGACUGUUUAUCAAAAACACAGGGCUCUGCAAAUUCGAAAGAAGACGUAUAGGGCCUGACACCUGCCCGGUGCUGGAAGGUUAAGAGGGGAUGUCAUCGCAAGAGAAGCAUUGAAUCGAAGCCCCAGUAAACGGCGGCCGUAACUAUAACGGUCCUAAGGUAGCGAAAUUCCUUGUCGGGU
rnacentral:rRNA from 1 species